rnacentral:rRNA from 1 species
GGGUUCCUACGGGGCGCAGCAGUGGGGAAUAUUGCACAAUGGGGGGAACCCUGAUGCAGCGACGCCGCGUGGGUGAAGAAGCGCCUCGGCGCGUAAAGCCCUGUCAGCAGGGAAGAAAAUGACGGUACCUGAAGAAGAAGCCCCGGCCAACUACGUGACAGCAGCCGCGGUAAUACGUAGGGGGCAAGCGUUAUCCGGAUUUACUGGGUGUAAAGGGAGCGUAGACGGAAAGGCAAGUCAGAAGUGAAAGCCCAAUGC